AUCAAAUAAAUAAUAGAAGUCUGUUGAAGCUUUGUCCUGACCUAUUCUGGAAAAAGAAGAAUAUCCUGAAGAAAGGAGCAUUGUAAGCACAAAGAAUUAACUCCUGGAUCCUGGGAGAGAGAAUUAAAGUCUAACCCUACAAAUGCCUUCUCUAAUGUGAUGCUGGGACAUAAUUUACGUAGGACUGAACUGCAAGAUUGACUACAAAGUCGUGCUGAAGGUCUGAAGGAAAAAGAGGAUUCUGAGCCUAAACCACCCAGCUAAACCACUCUUGGAUACCUGACCUGUCUUCAAUAACUAUGUAUUAAGUCAUGAUGCAGGAAUCUGCGACAGAGACAAUAAGCAACAGUUCAAUGAAUCAAAAUGGAAUGAGCACUCUAAGCAGCCAAUUAGAUGCUGGCAGCAGAGAUGGAAGAUCAAGUGGUGACACGAGCUCUGAAGUAAGCACAGUAGAACUGCUGCAUCUGCAACAGCAGCAGGUAAGUUUUGUUUUCCUCAGUGCUGCCUUACAACAAAUACGCGUUUUCUUGACUAUCAGAAAUGUAUUCAUAGCAAAUUGAGCAUGUUGUUUUAAGCUAAAAGAUGCCGAGAAUUUAUUUUUAUUUGGCACAUGAUGGAAGGAUGAGUAAAGAUAAGAUUUAUUUUCAUAUUAGUUACGUCAUAUCUGUACCAGAGUGCCCUUCAGGUGUCAGGAUAUUAAUUAAGUUCACAGGGUGAUUUUUGAAAGGUUCUGUGAAGGUUUCUAACAAAUAUUUUACAGCUUUCUAGUUUACUGUCUAACGUUGUGCUGCAGAACGUGAUACUUGGUUUUCCACCAGAGGGCCACAUUACGUGAUACUUGCUUUACAAUGAAUUUCUUCCAAGUCUGAGCUGAGGUAGAAAGGACCACAAGGACUUUUCACAACACAGAUACUCACCCGUGAUCGUUGCAAAUAUUAGCUAUUAAUUAGUUGAAUUCUGAGGACAGAUUGUGAGACAUGUAAGCAGUAUGAUCAUCUAUGUUGCUCUUCAAAAUUCAUUUCAGGAUAUUUUGAAUAUACAUCUUUCGAUAACAUUAAAGAGCACUCUUAUGUU